AAAGUGACAUCCCUGUCGCCCGACAUCCACAAAAUUGUGACCGAAGGGAGGAGCCACUUUUCCCAUUAAGAGCAGCGCAGAUCCUUCUCCCACGCGGCCAAUGUGCAUUCAUCUUUUCUUUCACUUUCACUUCUUUCGUUAUGUUUCAUUUUAAUUGGACCAUUUCAUAUUUGAGCAGACCUUGUUAUGUUAUUAAUGUAACGAAACAUAGGCUAUUUUUGACCUUGCUCACUGGAAGAGGGAGAAGGGACACUUUUGUUUUGUUUUUUUUGCACGCGCACUCGCGUGCCAUUACCGUUCCGACCUGUGCGUCAUGGAUAACUGCAAGGAUGUUCCACCUGUUGUUUUGUCACUUUAGUAGGACUAACAUCUAUACCUCAAUAAAUGUUUCGAAAUUGAUGGGAUUGCUGUAGGCCUUUUUUCUUUUUAAAAACAUGGGGUUAAAAAAAAAAAUUCUGUUUUUUUUUUAUUUAAACAGCAAAUUAACGUCAUCUCGCGGGCCAGAUAGAAUAGAUGGCGGGCCAAAAUUGGCCCGCGGGCCACUAUUUGCCAACCCCUUCCCUACAGCCUGAAGACCUGCAAGGAGGAAUGGAGUGGUUAGAGAGGAGACAUACAGAAUAGCAUACAUACAGAAUUUUCAAAAGGACCUAGCACGCGGGCAAAUAAACAGCCAUGAAACAUUUACAUUGCCA